CCUACGGUAGUCAGCAGUGAGGAAUAUUGGUCAAUGGGAGGAAUCCUGAACCAGCCAUUCCGCGUGCAGGACGACGGCUCUACGAGUUGUAAACUGCUUUUGUACCGGGGUAAAAUGCUCUUCGAGUAGGGUUUUGAAAGUACGGUACGAAUAAGGAUCGGCUAACUUCGUGCCAGCAGCCGCGGUAAUACGGAGGAUCCGAGCGUUAUCCUGAUUUCUUUGGUUUAAAGGGUGCGUAGGCGGAACUUUAAGUCAGCGGUAAAAUCGAGGGGCUCAACCCCUUUAAGCCGUUGAAACGGGUGAUCUUGAGUGGGCGAGAAGUAUGCGGAAUGCGUGGUGUAGCGGUGAAAUGCAUAGAUAUCACGCAGAACUCCGAUUGCGAAGGCAGCAUACCGGCGCCCGACUGACGCUGAGGCACGAAAGCGUGGGGAUCGAACAGGAUUAGAUACCCGGGUAGUC
rnacentral:rRNA from 1 species